AUUAGGAAAUAAACUUGGUCUUGCUUUGCUUUUUCUAGGUGGAACAUAUAAAAAAAUAUUAGAAAAUAAAAUUAGAGAAAAUCUUACAUAAAAAUAAUCAAAUAAAAAAGUUACAAUCAACUUUUUUAAGAAAACAAGUAACCUAUUUGGGUACUCAUUUAAUUCUAUAUAAUAAAUUAAUACUAUAACAAUAUGUAAUCAUUUUCUCUCCCUAUUUGUUUCUCACUCUCUUUGUUUUCCUCAACACAAUGGCUUUGACAUUUGACGGCGUCGAAAAGAGAUUCGAGAUCACCUUCUCAGCCUCGACAUCCAACGAAAAUAUACGCCACGAGAAAUGUGUUGGACCAGAUUCUGAAACCCGUCGGCGGUUUCGAUCGAUGUGGUGGCUCCAUCGCUGUUGCCUUCUAUACGGUGGCUGCGUCAUAGUGAUUGUGAGGUGGUGGCUCUGAUGCUUUGCUUCGCAAUGUCUAAAUCAACUUAUCCAGUAGACCACGUCCAUAAAUACUUAAAAGACUAUGAUUUUUCACUAUCAACCAUCUAAACAUAUCGACGACAUAGAUGAAUAUAGACAAUGUUAUUUAAAAAUUUAGAGUGUAAGGUUUUAGAUUUAACUAUAGCAACAAACUUAACGCAUGACUGGCAAACAAUUGUUAAAUAAGAAAUGGAUUAGGUUGAUGGAUGCUUAUAUAUGAAUAAAGUGGUAAAUUUCCCAACUGGGUUCGACGCCCGUUGAGAAGAAUCCGUUUUCCAAAUAUGAUGAAUUUAAUAAUUUGUUGUGGAUCCCGCCUCUAGAAGAUGUAAGACCUUCUUGCUUGAACUUUCAGAUAUUAAAAAAAAAAAUGCUAUGCUAAUUAUUAUGACGCUAACACCAUUUCCAAGAAUUCAUUUCAAAAUACUUAAUCCUACCUUCUAAACUCAAACUGAUUUAUAAUUUGGUUUAAAUGAAUAAUACUAACCCUUAUCCUUAUCUUAUAAACUCAAACUGAUAGGUAAUUCUGUUUAAAUGUAUAACAUCAAACCCUAACUACCUUAUGAACCCAAACCAAUACGUAUUUUAUUUAAAUGUAAAACAAUAAACCUU
rnacentral:sRNA from 1 species